CUCUCCUCUCGAUUCCUCCUCCCCUGACCUCUUCUCUUCCCCAACCCCCUCCUCCACCCCCUCCUCCUCUCUCCCCACCCUCUCCUACCCCCUCACCCCCCUGUGUCCCAAACUAUGGCACAAUAGGCCCCAGCUCCUCUGUCUAUUCUGUGUCCAGCAGGAGCCCGCGGUGAUUCAUUGCUCCAAUUAGGGGCUCUGCAGCCCGUGGCUCGGGCUGUCUGAAGGGUCUCCUUUGGGACCCACGAAACCCAUCAGCCGCUGCCGCUGAUCUUUAAGAAAAGGUCAAGCCGGACGCGCUAGUGCCAGAAUCAUCAGACCAUCUGGCAGGAUGGCGCUUUCCAUUAUUCCAGCACCCUGGAGAUGCACGGGAAGUUCAAGACCAGCCUGGGCUGCUUCGUGAAAACUGUCUCAAAAAGUGAGAACACAGCAGGGAUCAGGAUCCCUCUCUGCGAGUUCCAGACUGGCUUACUGGCCUGCAACUCGCUGUGUAACUCAUGCUGGCCUUGAACUCAUGACAGGCCUCUUCCUUCAGCUUCCUGACUUAACAAAUGUAAACUACCAUGUCUAACACGGACUCCACUGUUACAGUGACACCAGGAAACUCAUUUGAUGCCUUGCGGUGGCCUGGCCCUACUGCUGUACAGAGUCCCAACUAUCCCACCCCCGGGUUAGCUCAGCCCUACUCAGCCCCAGCACUGAGUCCUGAAGGAGGACUUGGCCGCCCUCAGCCCAGUGAGUCAGCCUCUUGGGUAGUCACCAUCUCUGCGGAGCCUCACCACACUUGCACGCCUCGCCUCCAGUCAGACUGCAGUUUCCUCAAAGGCCGGAAGCUCCAUUCAGGCGUCUUUGCUGUACCCAGCCCCUGUGGUGAAGAAGGAGCCCAAGGCCAGCUAAAGCACUGUGCAGUGCACUUCACACCAGCCUGUCCUUGUCCCCUAUCCCUGCAGAGCUCUGCCCCAGCCACCCACUCAGCCCCGUGCUUCAUCAUGACCUGACAUCACCACCUGACACCGGUGAGAGGCACUUUGAUCGCCCUCACCAGAAUCCCACCUUAUACCCAGAAGCAGCCAUGCCAUCUUGGGACUCUCCAUUCGUUUUCCAGUAUCUUUGUGAGUACAGCUGUUCUCCUAUGCUAUUUCCCAGGGAUAGUCACCAAUUGGGCAUGCAAAGACAGCUGGGUAAAGGCACUCUGGCUUCUAGCUCAGUCCCACCUGGCCAGCUGAGAGACCUUUUCCAGCUGAGGGAAAACCUGGGCCUUCCAACUUUCCAGUACAGAACCUGACUCAAAGAACAGUAAGUCCAAUUAAGACAUCCUAUCUGUGGCCUGCUACAGGUUAACCCAGUAAAUUUCCAUCUCAUUCCCCUUGGUGAUCUCAGAGCCACCAAAGUGUCCCCUGAACCUGUGGGCCAGGAGGGAGGUGGCUAUGUUUUAGAAGCUUCCCCCCAGACAAUAGCAGGCUGAUCUUGAAACACUGGUCUACCUUCACCAAGGUGGGGCUAGCUGCGUGCCACCGGCUUUGGGGAGGUACAGCCACUUGUUAGCCAGGUAACCAAUCCGUGGGACCAAUCCUCUGCUCAGGGUCAUAUCGCUGUCUCAGACUGGCCCAUACUGCUUGGGUCCACUGUGACCAAUAGCAGGGGGUCAAGGCCAUGAGCGUCUCACAAGUGGCAGAGACCUUGAACCCACCAGCCAUUGAUUGUCACAGUGCUCCCAGGGCUGUGUCGAGGGGGGCGGGGCAGGAGGGCAUGGCUGUGGUGUGUGCCAAGAAAAUGCGCUCCCAGUGCUGGGACACACAGAAGAACCCAAUGGCCUCCUGUACCCUUAGAACAGACCUCAGGCCUGACUCCUGCCCUGGCCAAGUCCCCACCCCCACCCCUGGGGCCCUCUGAGGCUUUCCCAUGGAAUCUCUGGGUGGGUUUGGAUUCAGGCCACAAGGAACAUGUAUCGGAAGCUCACUAACAGGAAAUGCUGUGUGGCCUUGGAUAGCUUUCCAGGCUGUGGCCUUCAGCCGGCUGUGCUCUGGGUAUUGCAGCCAUUGAAGCCUUCAAUGGGAUGGGAGCGGGAAGGGCCUUGGUCCCCAGGGCUGGCAGUGACUCUUUUUCCCUCCUUGGCUGGCUGCCCCUAAACACCCUGCACAGAGCCCAUUUAUCUAGAGGCUAUGGGUAGACACAGCAUCUUCAAAUCCUGUUUUGGGCCGUGAAUGUCCAGGCUUCAGCUAAAGGGCAGAGAGAGAGAGACAGAUUUGACCAUCCCAGGAGAGGUGGGGGUAGAGUGGGGGGGGGGGGAGUGGAGGGACCCUUUUGGCAGUUCUCUCCUCUUGCCAUGUCCUUAGUACAAGGAGUGGUGGCCCAGAGCCAUGAGGAGGGUACAACAGGAGGCUCAGGUGAAGAGUCACAGCUGGAUCGGGCGGUAGCUCUACUCAUAUUUUCUGUGCUGGCUCCAAAUGCAGAGGAACCCACUGGCGGAGGAGAUAGCAACCCACC
ensembl:lincRNA A330074K22Rik RIKEN cDNA A330074K22 gene